AUGCAGACGAUUCCAUGCUCUCGUUUCCUGCAGAGUGGACCAUGGAGCGUUGCGUUGAGAGCCCAAGAACUUGCCAGUCAAGAUGAAAAACUUCUUCUAAUGGAAUCCAGCUUGAAAGCUACUCAAGAGCAGCUAACUGAGCAAAUAGCAGAAACAGUUCGCCAAGAACAGAACAGUAGAAAACCCCAGGCAGAGCUGAAGACAGUGACAGAAGGGAUUAUUGCUUCUGAAGAAGAAAAAAAUGAUUACAAGAAGUUCUUUGGCAAGAUACGUUGGAGUCCCUCUGGCCAUGGAGUUUUUUCUAAUCUUCCAUCUUAUCAUCUGUUACAACUUCAUUGCAAAAGGUGUGAAAGAGAGGGAAAUUAA
rnacentral:lncRNA from 1 species